UUUGUAUAGCACUUCACUCUGAAUGUGUCUGAUCUUGCCUGAGCUCAGAAACUAAGCAGGGUUGGGCCUGACUACUACUUGGAUCGGAAAAGGACUUUUAUAGGA
rnacentral:rRNA from 1 species